AGACUUAAUCUCACAUUAAUUCUCAUUUAAUCUCUACUAAUCAUCAAUCAAUUAAAGAAUGAAAUAGAAAGGGAUUAAGGUUAUGUUUGCGUGACAAGCUGAACUUCAUCUUCUAUUCUCACUCAGACAAACGACGGCGGCGGAAAUCCCACCUUCUCCGGCGAGCGUUUUGAACGCCGCCGCGAAUCAACACCAUCUCUUCUCUCAAUCUCGUCUUCCUUUCUCUCGAUUCCGAUUCUAGACUCUCCGAUCUCGACCUCAUCUCAAGACUUCUCGGCUCACUCUCUCACUCGCGUCGUUCGAUUCUCUCAAAUCCCUCGACGAUCCAUUUCGUUUCACGGAGACAAGUUCGGAGACUCUUUGAGUUUGACGAAACCGAGUACGAAAUCUGGAGAAGUUCCUCAAGAAUUCAGAUGUACGUUGAAGGUCUAAUGAUGAAGAUCGAAGUUUGACUCUAUGUGAAGUUUCUGCAGAUUAUUGAUGAUGUUGCGUGAAUUGAAGAACGCGAGAAAGAUUGGCGAUUUUCUGUGUGGAUUCAAGGUGAAGAUUGAAGAGCUUUCGAUGGAGAUUUUCUGGUUACUUUUCGUAUAGUGAAAGAUUCGAUUGAAGAGAGAGCGUGAUUGUAGAUGAUGAAGAUUGUUGAUGUUACAAAGAAGAUGAUGGUUGAAAGUUCUGUCACGUGAAGGAGCUGAUGAAGAUUCAACAGUUUUGUGAAGGAUUCUGGAGAAUUGAGAUUGUGAAUUCAGAAGGUUGAAGCGUUGGUGAUGAUUGAAGAGCCAGUUUGUUAUCGAUUUUUCAGUUACAGGUUCGGUUUUUGUUGGUAUUAUGGGGCUGCGAAUUGAGUUUUGGAAGCAGGGUAUGAACCGAGGAGGCGGUUCGGUUUAUUUGAAAUGCAGCGUGAGGUUUUGCGCAAAAGGGAUGGUCUUGAAGAAUUGAAGAACACGUGAAAGGGCAUUUAGAUUUUUUGAUGGUUUUUGACUUUGGUCCCACUGAAAGUUCUUGUAGCAUAUGGAGAUAUUUGAAUAUUUUGUGUAAUGGAUAAUUGGACAAUUGGUAUUCUUGUAUUCUUGUAAUGAACAUCAAAUUGUAUUUUGCAGGGAAUUUUGAAUGGAAAUAUGGAUAAUGUAUGGAUAAUGAUGAAUUGAACAAUGAAUUUGAAUGUAUAUUUUUAGACAUUUUUGUAAUGAAUAUUUUGAUAAAACUAUGUCCUUGAAAUUUGAAUGAAUGAUAUAUGUCUUUUAUGCUUGUAACUUGAAUUUUAAGAAAUCCCUCGUAUGCGCCGAAUCUUGCCAUCAUGAACAAACAUAUGCUCUUGAACAAUUUGAACACAUAGCAUCAAGUAAUUACCAAUGAAUCCCCAUCUUCACCUUAAUGAAAACAUGUCUUCAAUUUAAACCC